rnacentral:rRNA from 1 species
GACGAACGCUGGCGGCGUGCUUAACACAUGCAAGUCGAACGAAGUGGCGAAAGGGUGAGUAACGCGUAAUCAACCUGCACUUCAGAGGGGGAUAACAGUUGGAAACGACUGCUAAUACCGCCUACUGAAGGCGGGGAGUGCGUCGAAUUAUCUAGUUGUCGGGGUAACGGCCCACCAAGGCGAUGAUCAGUAGCCGGUGUGAGAGGAUGAACGGCCACAUUGGUACUGGGACACGGCCCAGACUCCUACGGAAGGCAGCAGUGGGGAAUCUUCCGCAAUGGACGAAAGUCUGACGGAGCAACGCCGCGUGAGUGAUGACGGCCUUCGGGUUGUAAAGCUCUGUUAAUCGGGACGCGGUACCGGAAUAGAAAGCCACGGCUAACUACGUGCCAGCAGCCGCGGUAAUUC